rnacentral:rRNA from 1 species
GACGAACGCUGGCGGCGUGCUUAACACAUGCAAGUCGAACGGAAAGGCCCUGCUUUUGUGGGGUGCUCGAGUGGCGAACGGGUGAGUAACACGUGAGUAACCUGCCCUUGACUUUGGGAUAACUUCAGGAAACUGGGGCUAAUACCGGAUAGGAGCUCAUGCUGCAUGGUGGGGGUUGGAAAGUUUCGGCGGUUGGGGAUGGACUCGCGGCUUAUCAGCUUGUUGGUGGGGUAGUGGCUUACCAAGGCUUUGACGGGUAGCCGGCCUGAGAGGGUGACCGGCCACAUUGGGACUGAGAUACGGCCCAGACUCCUACGGUAGGCAGCAGUGGGGAAUAUUGCACAAUGGGCGGAAGCCUGAUGCAGCAACGCCGCGUGCGGGAUGACGGCCUUCGGGUUGUAAACCGCUUUCGCCUGUGACGAAGCGUGAGUGACGGUAAUGGGUAAAGAAGCACCGGCUAACUACGUG